rfam:Stegodyphus mimosarum contig26818, whole genome shotgun sequence.
GCCUUCGUGGUGUAGUGGUCAGCACGCUCGACGCGUAACCAAGAUGUUUAUGGUUCGAUUCCCGGCGAAGGCG